GAGAAAAGUGCUGAAAUUUUCAUGUUAUUAUUGAAAUGUAUCUAGAGUUACUAGAAUGUUAACAUUUUUAAUUUUUUCUAUUUCAUUCUUUAUACAUAAAUCACUAUACACCGGCAUAUAUUGUCAACCAGAAAACUGUACGAGUGAUUUAAACGAUAACAUGAUAUGUUAGCUUAAGUAAUCCGAUAACUUCAAAUUAUACUUCUUA
rnacentral:misc_RNA from 1 species